rnacentral:rRNA from 1 species
CGGUAAUUCCAGCUCCAAUAGCGUAUACUAAAGUUGUUGCAGUUAAAAAGCUCGUAGUUGGAUUUCUGCGGGGACGGAGCGGCCGGACGCAACUUGCGUCUCGAGCUAGCGCUUUCCCCGCAUCCUGCCGCGAACCGUGCUACCAUUAGUUUGGUGGCGCUGGGGAUCGGCUCGAUUACUUUGAGAAAAAUAGAGUGUUCAAAGCAGGCCACACGCCUUGAAUAAGUUAGCAUGGAAUAAUGACUAAGGACUUUGGUUCUUUUCGUUGGUGUUCGGGACUGAAGUAAUGAUUGAUAGGGACAGUUGGGGCGGUCCGUAUUCCAAAGCGAGAGGUGAAAUUCUUAGACCUUCGGAAGACGAACAGCUGCGAAAGCGUUCCGCAAGGAUGUUCCCUUUGAUCAAGAACGAAAGUUGGGGGAUCGAAGACGAUCAGAUACCGUCGUAGUCUCAACUAUAAACUAUACCAGCUAGGGAUCGGCCAACGUUUAGUUAUUCGACUUGGUCGGCACCUUAUGAGAAAUCAAAGCAUCUGGGUUCCGGGGGGAGUAUGGUCGCAAGGCUGAAACUUAAAGGAAUUGACGGAAGGGCACCUCCAGCCGUGGAGCCUGUGGCUUAAUUUGACUCAACACGGGAAAACUUACCAGGUCCAGACAUAGGAAGGAUUGACAGAUUGAUAGCUCUUUCUUGAUUCUGUGGGUGGUGGUGCAUGGCCGUUUUUAGUCGGUGAAGUGAUUUGUCUGCUUAAUUGCGUUAACGGACGAGACCCCAGCCUGCUAAAUAGCGCGGCCGAGCUUUGCUCGGUGCGAGCUUCUUAGAGGGACCAUGAUGCGCGAUAGCACAAGGAAGUUUGGGGCAACAACAGGUCUGUGAUGCCCUUAGAUGUUCUGGGCCGCACACGGGCUACACUGGCGCCUGCAACGAGCAUAUCAGCUGGCCCGAGAGGGUCUUGGCUAAUCUUUGGAACCGGCGCCGUGCUUGGGAUUGACCAUUGCAAUUGUUGGUCAUGCAACGAGGAAUGCCUUGUAAACGCGAGUCAUCAGCUCGCAUUGAAUACGUCCCUGCCCUUUGUACACACCGCCCGUCGCUCCUACCGAUGAAUGUUCCGAUGAAAUUUUCGGAGAGCGCCAGAGAACGGGGCUCUGCCUUGUAGAUCUGGAGGCUCAAAGUCACUUAAAUCUGAACAUUUCGAGGAAGGAGAAGUCGUAACAAGGUAGCCG